GAAACAGGUGGUCGAGUACACUUAACAAUGCUUUAUUCGGUUUUUUAUUGCUCAAUUCGCGAGCUAUCAUUGAUCUGCUAAUGAAAUGUUAAUCAAAAUAAAUCAAUUUGCGAAAAAUGAAAAUUAGCAAGGCCUAUUUGAAAACUAUUUACACAGAUUAGCUUGCUGAUUUUUCAAUUAUCAUAAAUAAUUUACGGUAGCUUAACGAUAAUCUUUGAAAUACGACAAUAGUGAGGACAAAGAAGCUGUGACAGUAGCACAUUAAACGCCCAUGAGUUAGCGCAAUGGGCGAAUCAGGAAUAAAUAAAUUUAUUGCUGAGGUGUGGUGGGAGACGAAGUGGCCGAAAUUACGAGAAUUCCUUUGCUUUGCUUACUUCGCUUACUUAUUUACCACAUUUCGAACAGUCUUUCAUUGUAUGUUUUUAAGUGGCAUAGAAAAGAAAACCAAUUGGGCUUAUCUGUAUGGAGCACAGAGAGUCAGGAGCGGAGCCCGGCAUACGAAAUAUGAGAUUAAAUGGUAAAUAUAUAGAACCGCAUUUCACUUUAUUCAAAAUAUUU